rnacentral:rRNA from 1 species
UAUGUAGGGUGCAAGCGUUAAUCGGAAUUACUGGGCGUAAAGCGUGCGCAGGCGGUUUUGUAAGUCAGAUGUGAAAUCCCCGGGCUUAACCUGGGAACUGCGUUUGAAACUACAAGGCUAGAGUGUGGCAGAGGGGGGUGGAAUUCCACGUGUAGCAGUGAAAUGCGUAGAGAUGUGGAGGACACCACGAUGGCGAAGGCAGCCCCCUGGGUUAACACUGACGCUCAGGCACGAAAGCGUGGGGAGCAAACAGG